CCUACGGGGGGCAGCAGUGGGGAAUAUUGGACAAUGGGGGCAACCCUGAUCCAGCCAUGCCGCGUGUGUGAAGAAGGCCCUCGGGUUGUAAAGCACUUUCAGUGAGGAAGAACGCCUGGUGGUGAAUACCCAUCAGGAAAGACAUCACUCACAGAAGAAGCACCGGCUAACUCCGUGCCAGCAGCCGCGGUAAUACGGAGGGUGCGAGCGUUAAUCGGAAUUACUGGGCGUAAAGCGCGCGUAGGUGGCUUGAUAAGCCGGUUGUGAAAGCCCCGGGCUCAACCUGGGAACGGCAUCCGGAACUGUCAAGCUAGAGUGCAGCAGAGGAAGGUAGAAUUCCCGGUGUAGCGGUGAAAUGCGUAGAGAUCGGGAGGAAUACCAGUGGCGAAGGCGGCCUUCUGGACUGACACUGACACUGAGGUGCGAAAGCGUGGGUAGCAAACAGGAUUAGAUACCCUUGUAGUC
rnacentral:rRNA from 1 species